GCCCUUGGAAGGGGUGUAUUUAUUAGAUUAAAAACCAAUGCCCUUCGGGGCUCACUGGUGAUUCAUGAUAACUCCUCGAAUCGCAUGGCCUUGUGCCGGCGAUGGUUCAUUCAAAUUUCUUCCCUAUCAACUUUCGAUGUUUGGGUAUUGGCCAAACAUGGUUGCAACGGGUAACGGAGGGUUAGGGCUCGACCCCGGAGAAGGAGCCUGAGAAACGGCUACUACAUCCAAGGAAGGCAGCAGGCGCGCAAAUUACCCAAUCCCGACACGGGGAGGUAGUGACAAUAAAUACUGAUACAGGGCUCUUUUGGGUCUUGUAAUUGGAAUGAGUACAAUUUAAAUCCCUUAACGAGGAACAAUUGGAGGGCAAGUCUGGUGCCAGCAGCCGCGGUAAUUCCAGCUCCAAUAGCGUAUAUUAAAGUUGUUGUGGUUAAAAAGCUCGUAGUUGAACCUUGGGCCUGGCUGGCCGGUCCGCCUCACCGCGUGUACUGGUCCGGCCGGGCCUUUCCCUCUGUGGAACCCCAUGCCCUUCACUGGGUGUGGCGGGGAACCAGGACUUUUACAAGGGC
rnacentral:rRNA from 1 species